rnacentral:sRNA from 1 species
CAGAGCUGCAUCUGGGCUGCGUGCUUGCCCUUCGCUUCCUGGCCCUCGUUUCCUGGGACAUCCCUAGGGCUAGAGCACUGGACAAUGGAUUGGCAAGGACGCCUACCAUGGGCUGGCUGCACUGGGAGCGCUUCAUGUGCAACCUUGACUGCCAGGAAGAGCCAGAUUCCUGCAUCAGUGAGAAGCUCUUCAUGGAGAUGGCAGAGCUCAUGGUCUCAGAAGGCUGGAAGGAUGCAGGUUAUGAGUACCUCUGCAUUGAUGACUGUUGGAUGGCUCCCCAAAGAGAUUCAGAAGGCAGACUUCAGGCAGACCCUCAGCGCUUUCCUCAUGGGAUUCGCCAGCUAGCUAAUUAUGUUCACAACAAAGGACUGAAGCUAGGGAUUUAUGCAGAUGUUGGAAAUAAAACCUGCGCAGGCUUCCCUGGGAGUUUUGGAUACUACGACAUUGAUGCCCAGACCUUUGCUGACUGGGGAGUAGAUCUGCUAAAAUUUGAUGGUUGUUACUGUGACAGUUUGGAAAAUUUGGCAGAUGGUAUGUUUCAUUCCAGAGAUUAGCCACAAAGGAAAGAAUUUUGAGGCCAUGGUAGCUGAGCCAAAGAACCAAUCUUCAGAAUUUUAAAUACCCUGUCACAAUACUGGAAAUAAUUAUUCUCCAUGUGCCAGAGCUCCCAUCUCUUCUCUUUCAGUUCAUUAAUUAAUUAAUUCAUUCAUGUAAAAUCCAUGCAUACCUAACCAUAGCUAAUAUUGUGCACUUAUAAUUCAAGAGGGCUCUAAGAGUUAAUUAGUAAUUGU